GCAGCAGUUGCUCAGUGGUAAAGCACCGCUUCGUAUGCGGGGAGACCUGAGUUCGAUUCCCGGCUGCUUCC
rnacentral:tRNA from 1 species